GCUAGGUAGAGUGGGGUGCACCUGUAAUCUCAGCUACUGGGAGGCUGAGGUGGGAGGAUCACUUGAGCCCAGGAGGUUGAGGUUGCAGUGAACUAUGACUGUGCCACUGCACUCCAGCCUGGGCAACAGAGUGAUACCCCGUCUGAA
ensembl:misc_RNA Metazoa_SRP Metazoan signal recognition particle RNA